CUCUUCUUCCCUUUCCCCUCUCUCUCUCCUUCCGGGCAGAGGACGGCGCGGGUGGGCGUCGGAGCAGGCGAGCUCCGGCGGCGGCGGCGGGCGUGGUCGGCGCCGCCCCCCGACCGGAGCGCCGCCUGUCCGCGUGAAGGCGAGUAGCGCGGCGACGCCCUGGAAGACGCCAUCGACGCCGCCAUCCGUGUCGCCGCCACCGACCACCCGGACGCCCUCCACGCGCGCCGGGACGGCAUCGCCGAGAGCCUCUCACCGCCGCUCCACAAGCCGCCUACGCCGCGCUCUCCCCUCCCGACGCCGUGCUCCGCCUCCUUUCCUCCCUCCCCUGCGCCCCCAAUUCCUUCAUGCUCAACACCACGCUCCGCGCCCUCGCCUCCUCCCCCGGCUCGGCCUCCGCCCUCGGCUAGGCCACCCUCGGCUUCUUCUCCCUCCUCCGCCACGACAGCGGCAACAGCAGCGGCGGCGGUGGCUCGUACUCGCCUCACUCCCUCCCGGGCACGCGCGUAUGGGAAAGGAGAAGAGGAACGAAGGAGCUAGAGCCAUGCCGAGCUCCCUCCUCUCCUGCCGGCGAGCUAGAAGGGCGGUGGAUGGCUAGGCGAGCUCAACCGGCGAGCGCGCGUGCGUCGCUCCCUCCUCUCCCGCCGGCGCCGCUCCCUGUGCGUCAGCCAUCCGUGUGCGGUCCGUGCGAGGCACCGCUCCGGGCGUGUAGGCUUCCGUGUGCCUCCUUCCUCGCUCGCCGUCGCCCUCACUUCAACUGUUUGGUUAUUAGGCGAUCGCAACAUAACCCAGUGAAGCAGUUCUGGUGCUGCUGUUUCAAUCCUGCCGCCGCCGCACCGCCCGCCGUGCUGGACGCCGCCCGGCGAGAGGAGGGAGCAGAGAGAUGGGGAUUGGGGAGAGCCGGAGAGAGGAGGAAGAAGAGGAUUGGAUUCGGUCAUUUGAGAAUGACAUAUGGGGCCCACGUGGGCCCCACCAUAUUUUUUUAAGCUGACAUGUGGGACCCACCAUUUUUAAAUUAUUUUUCCUGUGGCUGACAUGUGGGCCCACGAUUUUUAUUAUUUUUCCGACAUAUAAUUGCCACGUCAGCGCCACAUCAAUGCCACGUGGGAUGGAUAAGCCACGUAGGCGCCACGUCAGCCAAAACCGCCGAGGGACCUCGUUUGCCCGGUUUUCAAAAGUUGGGGGUCGGGUCGUACCGUUUUGCAGUUAAGGUACGAAAAUCGGACUAGGCGACAAAUAGAGGGACCCAAAGUCUUAUUCCUUCCGGUUUCUAUCCUCUUGUUGGGCCUUGCGCUCAAUGCCAGGCGGCCCAGUUAAACUACACGCAUGACAGCCCAUCACAGUUUGGACAUCCAGAUGGGCCAAAUUGGAAUAUAGCGAUCCAUUCGGCCCAUCAUAUUGUAAGGCCCAUCUUAUGUAUACUGAACAGAAGGGAAAGCCCACGACGCACCGGUACUGAGCACCGCAGCCACGGCGCCGCCGGCUGCUCGCCGGCGAAGGGAGCAGCCACGGCGCCGCCCACCACCGCCUCGAAGGCCACCUACUGCACUCGUCGAGGUCUUGUGUCUCCUCGGCCGACGAGUGGCUAGCGUUCUCAAGGCGGCCUCUCUCUCACAGACACCCAUUCUCGCUGCUUCGUCGGGCUGUGGUCAGAAGUUCAGAGGACUUUACAUGCCCAAUGUACAAGUUGCCGAUGUGUCUAAUUUGACAGCAGGAAUUACGGUCUACAAGAAAGAUAAGAUGAACUGUAUGCUGGAUGCUUAUGUGUUUAACAAGUCCUUCAAGCCUUGGUCUCUCCGGGUUCAUUCCUCUUUGCCUUCAGAAACUCAGCAAGAACCUGAAGCGCGACAUCGACAUCAUCAUUCCUCAUUAGGACCUCUGCAACCUCCGCAGGCGUUGUCAGCACCUCCUCAAUCAGCUGCUCGAUUUCUGGGUACAUGGCAUGGUUUUCGACAUUGUGGUAGUUGCUAGCCAGAACUCGGAAAGCCUCUCGAGUGCAAUACCCCAUGUGGAUGUGCAUGUCCAUCCUGCCAGGGCGCAGCAGUGCUGGGUCAAGCCGCUCUCUGUAGUUUGUUGUGAAGACGAUGAUCCUCUCCUCGCCGCUGGUUGACCACAGACCGUCGACAAAGUUGAGCAGUCCAGAUAGUGUCACCUGUUAGAACAAAAAUACCCAAAGUGGCAGCAUCAUUGGUGGGCUUGGCACGCUUGAUCUCUCCUUCGUCCCGUUGCUGCAGGUCGAUGGUGCAGUCAAUGUCUUCAACGACGAGGAUGGACCGGUUGCUCAUCCCGACGAGCAGCCUCCGGAGGUCAGAGUUGGACUUGACCUCGGUGAGCUCAAGAUCGUAGAUGUCAAACUUGAGGUAGUUGGCCAUGGCGGCGAUGAGGCUGGACUUGCCGGUGCCAGGUGGGCCGUAGAGCAGGUAACCCCUCUUCCACGCCCUGCCAAUCCUCCUGUAGUAGUCUUUCCUCUUGACGAACCUCUCAAGAUCGUACAUGACGGAGUGCUUGAGGCUGUGAUCCAUGGCGAGCGUGUCGAAGGUGGAGGGGUGGCGCAGGUC